GGUCGCUUAGCUCAGUUGGUUAGAGCGUGGUGCUAAUAUCAGUUUACACCUGGUAAACGCCAAGGUCGCGAGUUCGACCCUCGUAGUGACCA
rfam:Exophiala dermatitidis NIH/TT8656 unplaced genomic scaffold supercont1.2, whole genome shotgun sequence.